rnacentral:tRNA from 1 species
GGACUGUAGCUCAGUGGCAAAGUACUCGCCUACCACGUGUGAGGCACUGGGUUCGAUCCUCAGCACCA